rnacentral:lncRNA from 1 species
AAAACCCUAAAAUUCAGCAUUUUGUUCUUGUGGCCUACCCCAUGGCUAGCGCCAUAGACCCUGCCAUGACGUGUCCAAGCUCAACUUCCCUCAACUCCCACGUUCCCCACUACUUCCACUAAGGAGCCUGAUUUUGUUCUUGUGGCGGGCGCCAUGGCCUUGUGGCGGGCGCCACAAGAGGAAAGUUUUUCCCUCCCAUUUUCAAGUUGAAGGGCAUCCUUGUCAUUUCCAUCUUUUUACUUACUUAUAAAUAGAAAC